GAGUUUGAUUAUGGCUCAGAUUGAACGCUGGCGGCAUGCUUUACACAUGCAAGUCGGACGGCAGCACAAAGAAGCUUGCUUCUUGGGUGGCGAGUGGCGAACGGGUGAGUAACGCAUCGGAACGUACCGAGUAGUGGGGGAUAACUGUCCGAAAGGAUGGCUAAUACCGCAUACGCUUUGAGAAGGAAAGCGGGGGAUCUUCGGACCUCGCGCUAUUCGAGCGGCCGAUGUCUGAUUAGCUGGUUGGUGGGGUAAAGGCCUACCAAGGCGACGAUCAGUAGCGGGUCUGAGAGGAUGAUCCGCCACACUGGGACUGAGACACGGCCCAGACUCCUACGGGAGGCAGCAGUGGGGAAUUUUGGACAAUGGGCGCAAGCCUGAUCCAGCCAUGCCGCGUGUCUGAAGAAGGCCUUCGGGUUGUAAAGGACUUUUGUCAGGGAAGAAAAGCUUGAGGCUAAUACCCUUGAGUGA
rnacentral:rRNA from 1 species